rnacentral:tRNA from 1 species
UAAAAAAUAAGCUAAAUAAGCUAAUGAGUUCAUAUCUCAUUUAUAAAAGUCAAAAUCUUUUUUUUUUAA